rnacentral:rRNA from 1 species
GACAGAGGUGCCAAGCGUUAGGCGGAAUCACUGGGCUUAAAGCGUGUGUAGGCGGAUUGGUAAGUACCUUGUGAAAUCCCACAGCUCAACUGUGGAACUGCUCGGUAUACUGCUUAUCUUGAGCCACUUAGGGGCUGUCGGAACAAAUGGUGGAGCGGUGAAAUGCGUAGAUAUCGGGAAGAACACCCGUGGCGAAGGCGGUUCUCUGGGACGGUACUGACGCUGAGACGCGAAAGCGUGGGGAGCGAACAGG